rnacentral:rRNA from 1 species
GGGGACUACGAGCGUCAGCUUAAAACCCAAAGGACUUGGCGGUGCUUUAGACCCACCUAGAGGAGCCUGUUCUAGAACCGAUAAUCCCCGUUAAACCUCACCUUUCCUUGCUUUAUUCCGCCUAUAUACCGCCGUCGUCAGCUUACUCUGUGAAGACCCCAUAGUAGGCACAAUCGGUACAGCCCAAAACGCCAGGUCGAGGUGUAGCGUAUGGAAAGGGAAGAAAUGGGCUACAUUCAAUAAAUUAGUGAAUACGGAUAAUAUUUUGAAACAGAUAUUUGAAGGAGGAUUUAGCAGUAAGUAGAGAAUAGAGUGCUCUACUGAACCCGGCCCUGAAGCGCGCACACACCGCCCGUCACUCUCCCCGAGCUAACAAAAGCACAUAAUUAAUAAACUAGACCUGCAAAGGGGAGGCAAGUCGUAACAUGGUAAGUGUACCGGAAGGUGCACUUGGGAAAACUCGAGGUAUAGUUUAACAGCAAAGCAUCUCCUUUACACCGAGAUAAUACUCGUGCAAAUCGGGUUACCUUGAAGCCUAAUAGCUAGCUCAACCCCCUAAACCUAAUUAAACACCUUUAAUUAAACCCCAAUACACUAAACGUAUAAAACAAACCAUUUUUCCAUCCUAGUAUAGGAGAUAGAAAGGAAUACCGAAGCUAUAGAGAUAGUACCGCAAGGGAAAGCUGAAAGAGAAAUG